CGCCAGACUCCUACGGGAGGCAGCAGUGGGGAAUAUUGCGCAAUGGGGGAAACCCUGACGCAGCAACGCCGCGUGAGUGAAGAAGUAUCUCGGUAUGUAAAGCUCUAUCAGCAGGGAAGAAAAUGACGGUACCUGGGGAGGAAGCUCCGGCUAACUACGUGCCAGCAGCCGCGGUAAUACGUAGGGAGCAAGCGUUGUCCGGAAUUACUGGGUGUAAAGGGAGCGUAGGCGGGGAUGCAAGUUGGGUGUCAAAACUACCGGCUCAACCGAUAGUCGCACUCAAAACUGCAACUCUUGAGUGAAGUAGAGGCAGGCGGAAUUCCUAGUGUAGCGGUGAAAUGCGUAGAUAUUAGGAGGAACACCAGUGGCGAAGGCGGCCUGCUGGGCUUUUACUGACGCUGAGGCUCGAAAGUGUGGGGAGCAAACAGGAUUAGAUACCCCCGUA
rnacentral:rRNA from 1 species